GACGAACGCUGGCGGCGUGCCUAAUACAUGCAAGUCGAACGCUGAAGGAGGAGCUUGCUUCUCUGGAUGAGUUGCGAACGGGUGAGUAACGCGUAGGUAACCUGCCUGGUAGUGGGGGAUAACUAUUGGAAACGAUAGCUAAUACCGCAUAAUAGCAGUUGUUGCAUGAUAACUGUUUGAAAGGUGCAAUUGCACCGCUACCAGAUGGACCUGCGUUGUAUUAGCUAGUUGGUGGGGUAACGGCUCACCAAGGCGACGAUACAUAGCCGACCUGAGAGGGUGAUCGGCCACACUGGGACUGAGACACGGCCCAGACCCCUACGGGAGGCAGCAGUAGGGAAUCUUCGGCAAUGGACGGAAGUCUGACCGAGCAACGCCGCGUGAGUGAAGAAGGGUUUCGGAUCGUAAAGCUCUGUUGUAAGAGAAGAACGAGUGUGAGAGUGGAAAGUUCACACUGUGACGGUAUCUUACCAGAAAGGGACGGCUAACUACGUG
rnacentral:rRNA from 1 species